GAGGCGGAGCAGGGCGGAUGCACAAAGGCGGGGCCGUGCCGGGCCGUUCCGUUCCGUUUGGGUCCAUUUGGGGCCGUUUGGGGCUGUUUGGGGCCGGGGGGGUGUCAGGAUGCCGCUGUCGGCGCUGCGGGGCUGGGCUCUGGCCGUGCUGGCGGCCCUGACCCCGGCGGAGCGCAGCCGGCCCUACGCCGUGCUGCAGAAACAGAACCUGGUGCUGCUGGGCAGCAUCCUCAGCGCGCUGCUGCUCACCAUCGUGCUCGUGGCCGUCUGCGUCUACAAACCCGUCCGCAGGCGGUAGCGGCCCCGGCGUCGUGUGUGCGGCCCCGCCCGGCUCUGGGAUUCACACCUCGGGAUUCAGCACAACCUCUGGAACCAGUGGUGGAGCGCUCACGGCUUCAGGUGGUGUCUGGUGAGGGAUGGAUGCUCUGCGCCCACGUCCCGGGGCUCCCCGCUGCCAUCGCUGUCCUGGAGGGCACCGCUUGGCAUCGCCGCCCGGCCAUCAGCUCACGCUGCAUCAGGUUGUUCUGUCCGGUGAACUCGGCUCCUUGCUCGGAGGCUGCACUGGAAGGGGCUCGGUGCAGCCUUCCAGAAGCCUCGAGGACCGAAGCCGAGCGAGCGCCGGGGGCUGCGUGGAGCAGGAGCGCGCCCACCUCCGGGCAGCGGCACUGAGGCACGAGCAGAGGCCGGCCUGGCCGCUCACACCAGGCUUGUCCUAGCCUCAAGCAGCCCUGCAGCAGCCUCGGUGAACCCACGGCUCCCCAGCCCUCGCCCCCCGUGGGAGAUGCGCUCCUGGGUGUUGGCUGGGGGUCGGGGAGCCCCCGGUGUCUGCCGGAGCACGAGGCUGCUGGGCUGUGGCUGGCUGGGCGCGCUUUGUGCUUAGGCUGCCCAGAGCCAUUCUAUGCAUUUCUGGCAACAAAUUCAAGUGUUUACACUGAAAUCUCACUUGCAUACGGAUGCUGCUAUUUUGUUUUGCACUGCUGUGAGUAGUAACUGGAUUUUGCUUAUGAAGUAUUACUUUGAUAUUUAACAUAGGGGGUUUGGGGCUAGUAAUUUAUUUCAGUAUUUUAAAACCUUACUUCCAGAGCCAAUGUGUUGACCAACUCUCUAAAACCUUGUGCUGCAUCUGAUGUUUUCUGCUGUUAGUCUCAAAGGACACUGGCUCCUCUUGGAACCGGGGAUUUUCUUUGCUGCUGUUACUAAAUGAGGCCAGCCUAGGACAGUUCUCGUUUCUAAUCCAAGUGAAAGACGAGUGAGGGAGCAAGCUAACUGUAAUAUUUCUUUCUCAUCUUUUCCUUUCUUGGUUGCAGAGUCCUUUAUCACUGUUUUUCCCCUGAAUCCUUCAGUUGUUGUAGAGCUCUGCCCGUAGUCAUGUGCUGCUCACAGGUGGAGGAGGAUGGUGUAGCUCAUAGCUACAGCUCCUCGUCCCUGCAGCAGUGUUCCUGUUUGCAUUCAUUCUUCACUCCCUGCUGUGUGUCUCUGUACAAAUAAAAAGCUAAGUAAACAA